CAGCGAGCGCACGGUAGCGUCACGUCGUUCCCCGCCACCUCCCGCCUCCAGUCCGCUAUUCGUAGCCUCACUCACUACUCGGCGGUCCACGCCACCCUUACGCCGCUCCACGCCCGACCUCCGCCGCCGCCGCCGCGCCCACCCGCACAGUUUUGAACUUGGCCGCCGCUGCCCCGUACAAAAGUUUGGUAAUUUAGUUUCAAAGAACUUUUGGUCAGAGUUGAGAUAAUCAAACCCGCCAAACUCCAGUCACUCGGGACGGAGAUGCGCACAAGUUCAACGCCCCAUGACCAGGAAGUUGUGACCUAGUGAAAGUUGUGAUUUUUGCCCAACUUACCGCUUUCUUCCCAAACUCUGCCACCGGACACAAACUUUAAAUCAUAACCACAACUUAAAGAAAUUUGCUGGACUUCCCAUGACUCGUGGUGAUUAACGCGACUUGCUGCCACCAACCCGCGGUGUAUGACAUAUGCGGAGCAGCUCUCAAUGACCAUUAUAUCAUCUCAACUUAUAUUAGCGGACCAGCGGACACCCCAGGACCAGUGACCUAGGUGGUGGCUGGUCCUCGGACACCCUAGCCGGCACCUCCAGUAACAACGCGCCUGGCACUGGACCCCCUGCUGGGCCCCCUCCCCUGGUGGACCCCAAUCCC